UACGUAGGGGGCUAGCGUUGUCCGGAAUCAUUGGGCGUAAAGCGCGCGUAGGCGGCCCGGUAAGUCCGCUGUAAAAGUCAAAGGCUCAACCUUUGAAUGUCAGUGGAUACUGCCGGGCUAGAGUCCGGAAGAGGCGAGUGGAACUCCUGGUGUAGCGGUGGAAUGCGCAGAUAUCAGGAGGAACACCUGCGGUGUAGACGGCUUACUGGACCAUAACUGACGCUGAGGCACGAAAGCGUGGGUAGCAAACAGG
rnacentral:rRNA from 1 species